rnacentral:rRNA from 1 species
UACGUAGGGUGCGAGCGUUGUUCGGAAUUAUUGGGCGUAAAGAGCUCGUAGGCGGUCUGUCGCGUCGAUCGUGAAAACUUGGGGCUUAACCCUGAGCUUGCGGUCGAUACGGGCAUGACUGGAGUUCGGCAGGGGAGACUGGAAUUCCUGGUGUAGCGGUGAAAUGCGCAGAUAUCAGGAGGAACACCGGUGGCGAAGGCGGGUCUCUGGGCCGAUACUGACGCUGAGGAGCGAAAGCGUGGGGAGCGAACAGG